AGGAGCGACGCCGCGUGUGGGAUGACGGCCCUUGGGUUGUAAACCACUGUCAGAGGGGAUGAAAUUUUUGGGGGCUAUCCCCCUUGAUUGACAGAGCCUCAGAGGAAGCACGGGCUAAGUACGUGCCAGCAGCCGCGGUAACACGUACUGUGCGAACGUUAUUCGGAAUCACUGGGCUUAAAGGGUACGUAGGCGGCUUUUCAAGUCAGGUGUGAAAGCUCUCGGCUCAACCGAGGAAUUGCGCUUGAAACUGAAAGGCUUGAGUGUCCUAGGGGUGAGCGGAACUUCUAGUGGAGCGGUGAAAUGUGUUGAUAUUGGAAGGAACACCAGUAGCGAAGGCGGCUCACUGGGGGACAACUGACGCUGAGGUACGAAAGCCAGGGUAGCGAACGGGAUUAGAUACCCCGGUAGUCCUGGCUGUAAACGCUGAGUACUAGUUGGGAGGAUCUUCGGGUCAUCCUGACGCACUGAAAACAUUAAGUACUCCGCCUGGGGAGUAUGGUCGCAAGGCUGAAACUCCAAGGAAUUGACGGGGGCUCACACAAAAAAGG
rnacentral:rRNA from 1 species